GAUGAACGCUGGCGGCGUGCCUAAUACAUGCAAGUCGAGCGAACAGAUGAGGAGCUUGCUCCUCUGACGUUAGCGGCGGACGGGUGAGUAACACGUGGAUAACCUACCUAUAAGACUGGGAUAACUUCGGGAAACCGGAGCUAAUACCGGAUAAUAUAUUGAACCGCAUGGUUCAAUAGUGAAAGACGGUUUUGCUGUCACUUAUAGAUGGAUCCGCGCCGCAUUAGCUAGUUGGUAAGGUAACGGCUUACCAAGGCAACGAUGCGUAGCCGACCUGAGAGGGUGAUCGGCCACACUGGAACUGAGACACGGUCCAGACUCCUACGGGAGGCAGCAGUAGGGAAUCUUCCGCAAUGGGCGAAAGCCUGACGGAGCAACACCGCGUGAGUGAUGAAGGUCUUCGGAUCGUAAAACUCUGUUAUUAGGGAAGAACAAAUGUGUAAGUAACUAUGCACGUCUUGACGGUACCUAAUCAGAAAGCCACGGCUAACUACGUG
rnacentral:rRNA from 1 species